UACGAGAAAACCAAUUUUCCUUUUAUUAUUAACAAAAUUGCCAUUGAGUUAAUUUAAUAGGAAAUUGUAUAAUAUUUUCCCCAAAAAAAAACCCUUUUGUCGAGGCUCUGUCUUCUUCACAAUCUCAAUUCCCCUUCACACAUCGAACCUCCAUCUCCGACAACUUCAUCUCAGUCGCAGCCGCCUUUCGUUUCGUCACAUCCUCCCUAAAUCGGCAUCGUCCCUGUACACGAUGAAGCCUAACUCCGAACCCUAACUCCGAUUUGGCUUCGUCACAUCCGCCUCAAAAUCGAAGAAUAUUGAAACGGUGAGUGAUAAAUAUAUUAAUUUCAAGCCUUUUUCGAUAUGCAGAAACUGGUCCAGAGAGAAACGGAGAAUGGUUGGUCUGUUCUGUCUACUGUCCAUGGGAUAUUUGGUAUUUCAAGCAAUAGUCGGAUCCCUUUGCAUUGUGGGUUUGAAGACACGCAAGAUAACUCGGAGAAGAUUAAAGUGCAAACUUAUGCUUGGGUCAAUAAAGAAUAAAGAUGAUCGUCGUAUUGCUUACGGAUGAACUGUUUUUUCACCAUUUUCUUGGCAGUGGAUCCUGAGAUUAUGGGUGUGUGUAGGAAUGGAGAGUGAUUCAUGGGAAUAAUUUUUUAUAGAUAUUUAGGAAUAGGUUGACUGGAACAUGAAUUCAAAUUGGGAAGAGAAGAGACGAUGCGUAGAACCACUAAUAUUGUCUGACGAUUCUUGAACGACGAAUAGACAUAUAAAUUGCUACUUUCCUGGCUGCUAACCCUUCUAGGGAAGAAAAGCAGGAGCACGAGUGUUCUUGAAUAAUGUGUGGAUGUGUGUUUAUUGUUUUUGGAGUCUUGGAUGUAGACAGUGGUCAAGAGUUUAUUGCUAGGGCUGUUCUUGUCUAGUUUAGUAGUUAUUGUAACCACUCUUUUUGUUGUUUUUUGUUUAGAUUUUCAACAUUUGAUUGUAUCAUUUAUCAAUGUAUAUCAGUUUAUCAA